AACUCUUAGCAGUGGAUCACUUGGCUCAUGCAUUGCUGAAGAACGCAGCUAGCUGUGAGAACUAAUGUGAUUUGCAGGACACAUUGAUCAUCGACACGUUGAACGCACUUGCAGCCCCGGGUUCCUCCCAGAGCUUUAAGAAAAA
rnacentral:rRNA from 1 species